UACGUAGGGGGCAAGCGUUGUCCGGAAUCAUUGGGCGUAAAGAGCGUGUAGGCGGUCCGGUAAGUCGGCUGUGAAAGUCCAGGGCUCAACCCUGGGAUGCCGGUCGAUACUGCCGGACUAGAGUCCGGAAGAGGCGAGUGGAAUUCCCGGUGUAGCGGUGAAAUGCGCAGAUAUCGGGAGGAACACCUAUGGCGAAGGCAGCUCGCUGGGACGUUACUGACGCUGAGGUGCGAAAGCGUGGGGAGCAAACAGG
rnacentral:rRNA from 1 species